AACGUAGGUGGCAAGCGUUAUCCGGAUUUACUGGGCGUAAAGCGUGCGCAGGCGGUUGUGCAAGACAGAUGUGAAAUCCCCGGGCUUAACCUGGGAAUUGCAUUUGUGACUGCACGGCUAGAGUGUGUCAGAGGGGGGUAGAAUUCCACGUGUAGCAGUGAAAUGCGUAGAUAUGUGGAGGAAUACCGAUGGCGAAGGCAGCCCCCUGGGAUAACACUGACGCUCAUGCACGAAAGCGUGGGGAGCAAACAGG
rnacentral:rRNA from 1 species